UACUUCUAACAAGUAACAGAUAAUCUGGCGUUCAGCGGUAUAGACCAACAGGAGUGUAUUAAUUUUUCUCACAUUUCAGGAGGUCUGGAGAUAGGCAGUUGCAGAUGUUGGUUUAACAGAUCAACCUCAUGAGGAUCCACAUGACCCUUUCACCACAUGCUUGUAAGGUUUCCCCCACUCCCACCCUGCUCAGCUCCCAGAAUCAAGGCUGGAAGGGGAGAGAAGGAGUAAUGUCAACCAUGUCCUCAGUCCAGAUGGAAAACAACCCCCCCAAAGCUAAAUGGCAUCAAAACAACCAUUUAAUUAUGCUCACAGAUUCUGCAGCAUGGGAGCAUGUACAGAGCACAAUGGGGAAAGGUGGUCCUAACCCACCAUGUCUGGGGUCUCAGCUGGGAAGACUGGAAGUCUCAGUUCAAUCAUGGGGCUGCAAACCCUGAGACACAUCCUUACUCCUAAGCUUCAUGGUUGGUGCUGUUGGCCAGAAUGUCUAGACCCAGUCUCUCCAUGGAGUGUCCUGAAGCAAGUGUACUGAAAGAAGACGUGGAGACGCACAGCAUUUUUGUGAUCUAACCUCACACGUCACGAUGUCGGUUUCGGUGCACUCCGUUGGCUAAGACUAAAGAAACACCUCCCUCCAGGGUCAAGGGAAGAGGACAUUGACUCCACCUCCUCCUGGGAGUUCUACAAUCACUCUGUUGGAAGAGCACCCCUGGUGGGAGAUACUUUUGCGGCCAUCUUUGCAAAAUACAAUCGACCCCAAAUUCUUUUAUCAAGAAAGCAACACUUUCCCAGAAACCAGGCUGCAAAGUGACACUUUCAUCUCAUCGAACCCAUCUAGGUCACAUGGGUGCUUAGUGCGGAGGGAGGGUGAGGAAGGCAGCAUUUGACUUUCAAGUCUCUUCGGUGGAAGCUGGUGUGGGGGAGGGGAAGGGAUGAUCUUUAGGUAGGGGAUCAGCAGAGUCUGUCACGCUCCCACCCACGCUCCCUUCAACCACUCCCUCCUCUCUGCUCUUUGUUCUCCACACAGGCUUCUAGAUAGCGCCUAUAAAAUUUUUACUGCAUUUACUUAUUUGUUUCUUUCGGCUAUAUUCCAAGCCCUUUCUACACAGACUGGGAAUUAUUCAUCUUAGCCUCUCCAAGGUCUAUGCUCUGCCUGGCACAGGGGAACGUUGAAUACAACCCUUAUUGAAGAAAUGGCAGGUAAGGUUCCAGAAUUUCCUGAGUAGACUAACUACUAGACUUAGAUGUUUUGGGUCCAAGAUUAUGAAUAGUUUUAAUGGAAAGACAGAAAAAAGUCCAUCUUGAGUAUCCACGAUAGCUAACUCGCCUGGCGGCUUAUAGAUACCAAAGGAAAAACCCAAAGGUCCAGAAGAUUCUUUUCAGUAAUGAUAAUCCUAACUCCCUUGUUUUAUGCAGAGUGGUCUUACCAACACCAUCCUAUUUGUUUCUCAUAACCAACCACUUCGAACAUUCAGAAGGGCAGAUAUUCCCAUUCGGUAAAAGUAUCUUGGAUUUAAGGCUAAGUGAGUUGUUCAGGCUAAUAUGUGCAGGAAAGCAUGGUAAUCUCUUUUUUAAAUUAACCACACAUACAGUUUAAGUCUGGAAGCCUGUGUGAUAGAUUGUAAGCAUUUAGUGCCUACUCGGAGUUGGCUCUGAUUGUGGUGCAGUUUCUGAAAAUAACCAUGAAGUUUAAAAUUACAAGUUUGCAUACACACAUUGAAUAUAUAUAUAUAUAUAUAUAUAUAUAUAUAUAUAUAGGCAUUAGGAUAACAUACAUACAUCACACAUAGAAAUAUAUAUAAAACCAAGUACCAUUUACCUUGAAGUUAUUUGACAGGAUUAUGUACGACGAUAUUCUAGAAAAAUAGCUGUGAUUUUCCUUAAACAUAAUUUUCUCUCCAACGUUUGGGUAGAGUGAGGUCUGUUUGCAAAUUUGGUUUCACCCCACUCUUGCAUGCCUGGCUUCUGGCCUUGGCAGUGGCGGAAACAUGGAAGAACAGUAAUUCUUCUUUUUCUCAGGAAGAAGGAGCGGGACAGAACUGUUAAGAGCAUUAACUCAACAACAUGUUGUCUUUGCCAGGGGACUAGGGAGCGUCCUACGGAGCAGAGCCAAGGAAAGGAACAAAAGCUACCCUGGGUCAUCCUAAAAAUGUUUCUGCACUUCCCUUGGAGAUAACCCCUCCUCUGUGUACGUUCAAACAAGGGAGUUGGAAGUGGUGGUACGAGAAUGAUGGUUACCGGGAGGACACGUCAGGGUUAAUCAUGAAGGAAAUGAGCGAGGUACCUAAUACCAGCAAGCCCUGGGUAGACGACAAUGGCUCAGACUCCUGUCUUCUUCCUCAUUUGAUGAUUAUGAUCCCUGACACCUGAAUGGGAGGUCAAAGUUUAAGAGUGUGCCUCUCUAGAACUCAGCUCAGAGCCUUUGUUUUCUGUGUCUCCCCAUCACAAUCCCAAGCACCUGGUGUUGUCAAAGUUAGGAAACCCAAACAAGCUAACCAGCUCCAGCCACCCACUCGUCCACGCCCCACCGCCUUGCUCUCGGGCUUGCGGAACUAGCCUCCUAGCUAGCCCGGGUUUGCCCAGACGGGCCCCCCGCUGGAUGUGUGCCUGGCACCUGGCUGGUUUGAUCAUGUGGCUUGUGGAUGAAGGGGGCAGGAGACAGAAAAAGCUCCGCAAACCUGGGAAACAGGAUGCAGUCCAAAUGCCUGCAGUUCCCAGACGCUAGGACCCUCGGAUCCACAAAACAGAACUGGAUGUCUUAACUAGCACCCGUGAAACCCCAGGGUCAGCAGAAAGAAGAGAACAAACACUGUGUGAGCUUCCGCCUUUUCCUGAUUCCUUCCCGAGGCUUCAUAGUCCUACAAAUGCUCCCUCUCCUUCCCUCGCGCUGGCUGCCCCGUGUCUGGGGAAGCUGGGUCGCUUCAUGGCUGCAGGGGAGAACGUGUGUCUGGCAGAGAGAUCCAUUGGUUUGAGAAGCUGCGAGACCGUGAGGUUCUCUGUGCAGGGUCUUAAUGUGUGAGAGCUGCCUGUUC